UCCAGAUUGUUCCCGAGCUCAGAUCAUCGGUACAAUUCUUGGAAAGAAAACCUGGCGCAACCCAUGGCUAAUUCUUGUAACAAUAUAUAUUUUUAUGAGCUGCUUUUUCAAAUACAACACACGUUGAGGUGAUCGUAUUAUAUUUUUUUUUAAUGCCAGACAUGGAUUUAGCAAUGCAAUUAUACUGCCUUAAUUUGCAUGAACAGAGACUCCACCAAAGCAAAGGAUUAUGCUUAUGUCUUUUGAGGGGAAAUACACAUAUGCGUAUGCACGGCAGAAGGGGAAAAAAAAGGGACUUCCUCGAAUUCAGUACAUCAAUAAUGUACCUUGUUAAGUGAAGUCAUUUGAAUCCGCGUCGUCUCAGCAUCAAGGACAAGAGACAGCUCAGUGUUUGCCCGGACAAAACGAGCCCUAGGAGGCCGCCCAGCACAAUGAUGGUCCAGAGAGCGGGUCUGCAGCCGCCGGCUGUACCGCAGGUACCAGCGCUCCCUGCAAGAACACCCCGCAAACACCGCACAACUGCCGGCAACGAGAACAACCUUCCUCCGAACCCAGCACCUGAGCAAACUCCUCCGGCCGCACUCUGGGGCCGGGAACCAUCGCUUCCCCCGAUCGCCCCGCAGCUCCAGCCCGCGGGAUGCUCGGCCGGGACCGCCUCAGCCCCGAGCGCAGGCUCGGAGCCCUCCGCCACUGCGGGAGGCGGUUUUGGCUGCUCCUAUUGUGUAAAUGACAAAUAAAACAAGAAACUGCC